rnacentral:siRNA from 1 species
AUUAGCUUAGGCAGCUCGUGC